AGGGCUUUAGCUUAAUUAAAGUGUCUGUUUUGCAUGCAGAAGAUGUGGGUUAGUAUCCUGUAAGUCUUA
rnacentral:tRNA from 1 species